rnacentral:rRNA from 1 species
GACAGAGGGUGCAAACGUUGUUCGGAAUUACUGGGCGUAAAGCGCGUGUAGGCGGCUUGGCAAGUCGGGUGUGAAAGCCCUGGGCUUAACCUAGGAAGUGCACUUGAAACUGCCGAGCUUGAGUUCUGGAGAGGAAGGCGGAAUUCUCGGUGUAGAGGUGAAAUUCGUAGAUAUCGUCAAGAACACCGAUAGUGUAGACAGCUUACUAGGCUACAACUGACGCUGAGGCACGAAAGUGUGGGGAUCAAACAGG